rnacentral:tRNA from 1 species
GCGUCGGUGGUUCAAUGGUAGAAUGCUCGCCUGCCACGCUGGCGGUUCGAAUUCCAUUCCCGGCCGACUCA